rnacentral:rRNA from 1 species
CUGAUCUGCUCCAUGAAUUUAUUUAAAUAGCUGCAGUAUUUUGACUGUACAAAGGUAGCAUAAUCAAUAGUUUUUUAAUUGAAAGCUGGUAUGAAAGAUUUGAUAAGGUAAAUUUUGUCUCAAGUUUAAUAAARRUAGAAUUUUUUUUUUAUUUAAAAAACUAAAAWWUUUUWAAAAAACAAAAAAACCCUAWAAAUUUUUAUAUAUAUUWAAAAAAAAAUUUAAAUUUAUUUAAAAUUUUU